ensembl:lncRNA
AGUAACGGACCAUACCCCCUUACAGUGGAUGGCCAAGGCCAAAGACACGAACGCCAGGGUAACCUGCUGGUUCCUCGCCUUACAGGACUUCUCAUUCCGGGUCCAACACCGGGCGGGGGACCAACAUGGGAAUGCAGAUGGGCUCUCGCGGAGAGACACGCUCUGGGCCCGCCACCCAGCGGCAGUAGGCUCGGAGCUGGGAUGGGUACUGUCGCAACGGACCGACAGCCGGCGCGCAGGAUAAGAAAGUCGCUCCUUCCUCGUCUGCCGCGCAGGCACGAGGCGGACAGCCUCGCGCCAAACACAUCAGCUGGAAGGACCGUCACGGUGGGGCGGAACCGCUGACACAACACCGGCUGGCGAUUGGGGAGUCAGUCGAGAGAAUUCCACCACUCAGGCGACGGGGGAAGAGUAUAAGAGGACGCUCUUCCGCCCGUGCAGGGAUGGGUACUAACUCGCAGACCACGUUCGGGUGCGGACGAAGACGCCAGCUGGUGAGCUUACACACGACGGUGGAUGA